rnacentral:piRNA from 1 species
UGUGGUUUAUUCUGCCUUCACCAGGAUC